GGGGGCGUAUGGAUUCGACGGGGGUUAUGAGGCUCAGGUCGCAUGCCGUGGCUCCGUCACCACGGUAAAAGACGGAACAAAACACAAACGCCAACGACGAACUGGCACUCGCUGCUUAAAUAAAGCAGCGCGCUGCUCCGGAAAUGUCUGCUAUUCGGAGUUAGCGUCAUUUAGCAGGCUGGCAUCAGGUGAUGCCCUUAAUCCUGAUGCAAGACUUUAAGGGAUAGGGUUUUGAAAAGCCUGUCUGCCGGCGGUUCAUGACCUGAAAUUUAAAUGGCGGAAUAAGCAUGUAGAAGCCUGGGAGUAGUACUUCCGGACGCGGGUUCGAUUCCCGCCGCCUCCACCA
rnacentral:tmRNA from 5 species